rnacentral:rRNA from 1 species
UACGUAGGCAGCAAGCGUUGUUCGGAAUUACUGGGCGUAAAGAGUGUGUAGCCGGUGCUCCAAGUCUGGUGUGAAAUCUCCCGGCUCAACUGGGAGGGUGCGCUAGAAACUGGAAUGCUAGAGGAUGGGAGAGGUAAGCGGAAUUCCUGGUGUAGCGGUGAAAUGCGUAGAUAUCAGGAGGAACACCUGUGGUGUAGACAGCUUACUGGACCAUUUCUGACGCUGAGACACGAAAGCGUGGGUAGCAAACAGG